GCUCACUCCCGCAGCACAGACUAAAAUUGGAGCGAUACAGAGAGGAUCAGCAGGGCCCUUGCUCAAGGAUGACAUGCAAAUUCAUGAAACAUUCUGUUUUUAG